rnacentral:rRNA from 1 species
CCUACGGGCGGCAGCAGUGAGGAAUAUUGGUCAAUGGCCGGAAGGCUGAACCAGCCAAGCCGCGUGAAGGACGAAGGUGCCAAGGAUUGUAAACUUCUUUUGUCAAGGGACAAAAUCAGUCUCGAGUGCCUGACCGAGGGUACUUGCAGAAUAAGCAUCGGCUAACUCCGUGCCAGCAGCCGCGGUAAUACGGAGGGUGCGAGCGUUAUCCGGAUUUAUUGGGUUUAAAGGGUGCGUAGGCGGGCUGUUAAGUCAGCGGUAAAAGCCCGGGGCUCAACCCCGGCGAGCCGUUGGAACUGGCUUGCUUGAGAUGUCGGGAGGUAUGCGGAAUGCGUGGUGUAGCGGUGAAAUGCUUAGAU